CCUGCUUAAAAGGCAGCACUUUGGGAAGCAGGGGAAUAGCUCAGAUCCCAGAGCCACACUCAGGUGGAAUUCUGGGCCUCCAACCCCCAGCAGCCUACAGGGGGUGUUUGUACUCCCAGGGGAUUGCAAGAAUUCAUCACCUAAUGAACUAAAACCAAUCAAUGCAGAGAUUUGGCAACAACCUGCCAGCACUUCUGUGCCUGGCUGGCAGGAGGAGUUCUCCAGGGGAUGUUACUGUGUCCAUUUACAGAGAAAUUCAAAAGGUCCAGGUGGGAUAAAGAGAAGAAAGAAAAGGAACCUUUUCUGUUUCUUUUCUUCUUUUUUGAAGAAAAGGAACAUCCCCAGGCUGGCACAGGGAUACAGGGAUGAGAAAGCUUUUGGCCCAAAAAUCUACACCCUUACAGGAGCUUAACCACGUAACUAAGGAAAGCACUUUUCCAAGUGGAAUAAAUGAAGUGGCACUGCACAGAGCUGUAGCAGAACCCUGUGGCAGGAAAGGCAGGGCUUUUGGGCAAGUGAGAGCUGCUGAAAAAGCAGGGUGUGGAGCACUGCUGCCAGCAGGAACUUACGCUGCGUGACCUCCAUCUCCGGGAAGUAGAAGAAGCGCUCGUUGCACAUGUUGCCCUCACAGCAACAGAAAAACACGUCAGGGCUGUCCUUCUUCUCUAUGCAAUCAUUCCUGCAGGAGAGAAGGGGGAAACGUUCAUUCAUCUGGAGCUGGCUUGGCUUUGUUCAGGAGAAAACAUGUGCCCAGCUUUCAGAUUGCCAAGGUGAACUUUGUUAAAUUGACCGUGACCAAAAUAACAGCUAAAUUUAAUGAAAUAAAAUAAAUUUUGAUAUCUUAUACUGCAAUGAAGUGUUAUUAAAACAGAAACACAUUUCUGUCAUUUUUAAGACAAAGUUACAGAAAACCACCACCAGACUGAGGAACAGUUCACAAGCUAGAUUUAAACAGGACAAGCAAAUGAUCAAACAAGGCUGGAGAUAAGUGAGAAGGAGAAUUUUUAAAUUUUAUUGUAUUUGUAGAAAGAAAUUAUAAAAUUUCUACAAUCUCCUCUGCCUACAUUAUGCUCAGGGACAGAGCUUAUUUUAUUCUCUGAAUUAAGUGCAGGAAUGGCUUUUUUUCUAAUGUUCUGCUAACAAAUAAGCUGAAACUAUUCCCAUCAGGAAAGAAAAAGCAGCAACCAGGAGCCAACCUGACAGCAGAACUGGAAAAGGCUGAAGAAAUACUGCAGGAUUUUAAACACGGCUGAAGAUUGUCAAGGAGGUUUUGGGCUCGUCUUCAAAACUUGGGGUUAUUCCCUAGAGCCAGCUCUGGCUGUCACCCUGUCCUGUGACUUCCAGGGGACAUUUUCUCUUUGAUGUGCUGAAUCUGCUGUGUUUGGAGUCACCCCCAGCUCCCAGAGCAGCAGAAGCACCCCACGCUCCAGAGAUAAGAUUUGGGCUGUUCUGGACAAACACAGCGCUGGCUGUGAUUAGCACAAGUCACUUAAUGAGGAUUUACAGUUACUCACUUUCCUGCUCCUUCCUUACUGUCCUUCCUGCGUUUCAUUUCUUCUUCCAAUUUCUUUUCUUUGCUCAAGGAAGAUUUUAAUCUCAUGAUUUUAGGAUUUUUUUAAGAUUGUGGAACUGAGCUUUAAACUGUCAUUAAAGCAGAAAACACCUUGAUUUGGGAGAAAGGAAUGCAAGGCUUUCUUCUAAAAAUUCAACUUUAAAGAAAUACAAAGCAAGACUUCCGUAAAAAAUACUGAAAUAAUUCCUCAAUACUUUUUAAUGAUGAUCCAUUGUGGAUCUGUUUCUUAGUUCUCUGCCUUCCCAAAUAAUAAAUGUUUUGGGCCAAUAAAACCCAGUAGAGUAUUUAAAAAGCUGCAACACCAUUGCUUAAGAGAGUCAUGACCUUUAUUCAGUCAGCAUCUAACAAACCCCAAGUCCUGCUGUUACUGCUUGUGGGUUCUUUCUGGACCAUCUGUUAUCAACAAAAUAACUGGAAAUUUAGAAUAUUCUUAGAGCUGCCAUUGAGCUUAUUAAUAAACUGCCAAAAUACUUCCAUGAUCUGGUAAAUUGCAGACACAAAGUGCUGACUUUCCAACUCUAAACGA